CCGGCACGGGUGAGUAACACGUAUCCAACCUGCCGUCUACUCUUGGCCAGCCUUCUGAAAGGAAGGUUAAUCCAGGAUGGGAUCAUGAGUUCACAUGUCCGCAUGAUUAAAGGUAUUUUCCAGUAAACGAUGGGGAUGCGUUCCAUUAGAUAGUAGGCGGGGUAACGGCCCACCUAGUCAACGAUGGAUAGGGGUUCUGAGAGGAAGGUCCCCCACAUUGGAACUGAGACACGGUCCAA
rnacentral:rRNA from 1 species